rnacentral:rRNA from 1 species
GGUGAGUAACACGUGGAUAACCUACCUAUAAGACUGGGAUAACUUCGGGAAACCGGAGCUAAUACCGGAUAAUAUAUUGAACCGCAUGGUUCAAUAGUGAAAGACGGUUUUGCUAUCACUUAUAGAUGGAUCCGCGCCGCAUUAGCUAGUUGGUAAGGUAACGGCUUACCAAGGCAACGAUGCGUAGCCGACCUGAGAGGGUGAUCGGCCACACUGGAACUGAGACACGGUCCAG